AGGACGAACGCUGGCGGCGUGCUUAACACAUGCAAGUCGAGCGGUAAGGCCUUUCGGGGUACACGAGCGGCGAACGGGUGAGUAACACGUGGGUGAUCUGCCCUGCACUCUGGGAUAAGCCUGGGAAACUGGGUCUAAUACCGGAUAUGACCUGCUCUCGCAGUGGGGGUGGUGGAAAGAUUUAUCGGUGCAGGAGUGGGCCCCGCGGCCUAUCAGUCUUGGUUGGUGGGUAAUGGCCUACCGAAGGCGACGACGGGUAGCCGACCUGAGAGGGUCGACCGGCCACGACUGGGACUGAGACACGGCCAGACUCCGUAGGGAGCAGCAGUAGGGAAU
rnacentral:rRNA from 1 species